CCGGGAUCAAUACCAACCAUCCGGGAGCAGGCCAGUGAGGACACAUCCAAUUUUGAAGCUGCCAGCACCUCACAUGCUACCAGCAGAUUACCUGUGAUGACAGAUUCUGCAUGUCAGACUGACCCACCCAAGUACCGUACUGUUCGUACACAGCUAUCCUCGAGGACUCUUGGUUCACAUCGAAGUACAGCUGUCCAGGCUAAAAUUCCCUGCAGAAGCGUUGGUGUCUAAACACUUCCGUUGGAAGUGCCAG